rnacentral:rRNA from 1 species
CCAGACUCCUACGGGAGGCAGCAGUGGGGAAUAUUGCACAAUGGGGGGAACCCUGAUGCAGCGACGCCGCGUGGGUGAAGGAGCACCUCGGUGCGUAAAGCCCUAUCGGCAGGGAAGAAAAGCGAACAGGUUCGCCUGGACGGUACCUGAAUAAGAAGCCCCGGCUAACUACGUGCCAGCAGCCGCGGUAAUACGUAGGGGGCAAGCGUUAUCCGGAUUUACUGGGUGUAAAGGGGGCGUAGACGGCGGUGCAAGUCUGGAGUGAAAGGCAGGGGCCCAACCCCUGGACUGCUCUGGAAACUGUAGUGCUGGAGUGCAGGAGAGGUAAGUGGAAUUCCUAGUGUAGCGGUGAAAUGCGUAGAUAUUAGGAGGAACACCAGUGGCGAAGGCGGCUUACUGGACCAUGACUGACGUUGAGGCUCGAAAGCGUGGGGAGCGAACAGGAUUAGAUACCCGCGUAUG